rnacentral:rRNA from 1 species
CCAAGGGUUGGGCUGUUCGCCCAUUAAAGCGGUACGCGAGCUGGGUUCAGAACGUCGUGAGACAGUUCGGUCCCUAUCCGUCGUGGGCGUAGGAAAUUUGAGAGGAGCUGUCCUUAGUACGAGAGGACCGGGAUGGACAUACCUCUGGUGUACCAGUUGUCGUGCCAACGGCAUAGCUGGGUAGCUAUGUGUGGACGGGAUAAGUGCUGAAAGCAUCUAAGCAUGAAGCCCCCCUCAAGAUGAGAUUUCCCAACUUCGGUUAUAAGAUCCCUCAAAGAUGAUGAGGUUAAUAGGUUCGAGGUGGAAGCAUGGUGACAUGUGGAGCUGACGAAUACUAAUCGAUCGAAGACUUAAUCAA